GAUGAACGCUAGCUACAGGCUUAACACAUGCAAGUCGAGGGGCAGCGCAGUGUAGCAAUACAUGGGCGGCGACCGGCGCACGGGUGCGUAACGCGUAUCCAACCUUCCCGAUACUCUUGGAUAGCCUUCCGAAAGGGAGAUUAAUACAAGAUGGUGUUUCACUUUCGCAUGUUGUUGAAACUAAAGAUUUAUCGGUAUCGGAUGGGGAUGCGUGACAUUAGAUAGUAGGCGGGGUAACGGCCCACCUAGUCUACGAUGGAUAGGGGUUCUGAGAGGAAGGUCCCCCCACACUGGAACUGAGACACGGUCCAGACUCCUACGGGAGGCAGCAGUGAGGAAUAUUGGUCAAUGGGCGCAAGCCUGAACCAGCCAAGUAGCGUGAAGGAUGACUGCCCUACGGGUUGUAAACUUCUUUUGUUUGGGAAUAAAUGAUACUACGUGUAGUAUUUUGCAUGUACCUUACGAAUAAGCAUCGGCUAAUUCCGUGCCAGCAG
rnacentral:rRNA from 1 species